AUUGAACGCUGGCGGCAUGCUUUACACAUGCAAGUCGAACGGCAGCGCGGGCUUCGGCCUGGCGGCGAGUGGCGAACGGGUGAGUAAUACAUCGGAACGUGCCCAGCAGUGGGGGAUAGCUCGGCGAAAGCCGGCUUAAUACCGCAUACGACCUGAGGGUGAAAGCGGGGGAUCUUCGGACCUCGCGCUAUUGGAGCGGCCGAUGGCAGAUUAGCUAGUUGGUGGGGUAAAGGCCUACCAAGGCGACGAUCUGUAGCUGGUCUGAGAGGACGACCAGCCACACUGGGACUGAGACACGGCCCAGACUCCUACGGGAGGCAGCAGUGGGGAAUUUUGGACAAUGGGCGAAAGCCUGAUCCAGCAAUGCCGCGUGUGUGAUGAAGGCCUUCGGGUUGUAAAGCACUUUUGGCGGGAACGAAAAGGACUGUGCCAAUACCACGGUUCGAUGACGGUACCCGCAGAAUAAGCACCGGCUAACUACGUG
rnacentral:rRNA from 1 species